ensembl:snRNA U6 U6 spliceosomal RNA
GUGCUCACUUUGGCAGCACAUAUGCUAAAAUUGGAACAAUACAGAAAAGAUUAGCAUGGCCCCUGCACAAGAAUGACAUGCAAACUCAUGAAGCAUUCCAUUUUUUU